UAAAUAAUGGGACAGUAUCAAGUCACGAGUUAAAAAUGAUACCAGAUAAGACAAGUUGGCUGCAAAAACAAUUAAUAAACAAAUGCAAUUAAUAAACAGUUGCCAGGGGCGACAGACACAUUUGUUUAUUUUGAAAUUGCUUCUCUGUCAGUUUGGGUAACUCAAACACUUCUUUAUUAAUUAAAAUGGCGCGUGGUAUCUCGACAAAUUCAAAAAUUCGCGAGUUGGUGGUUAAAAAUUAUUCCCGAAACAAGAGAAUACGUGAGGUGGCGGACGAACUAAAUAUUCCUAAAAGUACUGUGUUUAAUAUAAUAAAGGAUUAUGGGGAAAAUGGAGGAAUUUUACAUAAGAAAAGGAAUAGCCCAGGUCGCCCAAAAUUAGUUUCUGAUAGAGAUAAAAGAAUGCUUGGUAAAUUAUGCAAAAAAGGUCGAAGAAAUACGGUACGGCAGGUAACGGCAGAGUGGAAUCAUGAAACUGGGCAUAAUUUGUCAAGAGAAUGUUGUCGCAAGUGGAUUCAUAAAUGCGGAUUGAAGUUUUACAAGGCAAAGGAAAACCCACUUUUAACAGCAAAACAAAAGAAUGCCAGGCUGAUAUGGGCAAAAUCUAAAUUGUCCUGGCCAGUAGAAGAUUGGUCCCGCGUAAUUUUUAGCGACGAAUCAAAAUUCAACGUAUGUGUUGGUGAUUACCGAAAACGUGUGAUUCGCACAAAAGAUGAGGCUUUCCAUAAGGACUGUUUAAAACGCACCGUAAAGUUUCCUAAAGGAAUAAUGAUUUGGGGUUGCAUGACACUUGGAGGAUUAGGGUUUUGAGUUUAUAGAGAGCACCGUAAAUGCUGCAAAAUAUCAACAAAUUCUACAAAAUAGCCUACUUCCAAGUAUCCCGAAAUUAACAGUUAAUGAAAAUUACAUAUUUCAGCAGGAUGUGGCUGCAUGUCACACGGCCAAAACUACAAAAAAGUGGUUUGGGGACCACCGCAUAAACUGCCUUUUUUGGCCUUCUAACAGCCCAGACCUUAAUGUCAUUGAAACAGUAUGGCAUAAAAUGAAAGAGACAUUAAGGAACAACCCUCAAAGAACAUUGCCAGAACUUAAGGCCAAAAUAGAGCAGAUUUGGAAUGAAUUUACCCCCGAACAGUGUAAUUCCUUAGUCCAAUCAAUGCCCAAAAGAAUUCAAGCAGUUAUACAAUCUAAGGGCGACGUUACUCCAUUUUAAAAAUUGAAGUUCGCGUUUGUCCCAUUAUUUAGUUGCCACCCAAUAUUAGCAUUUUUUAAAUAAUUUGGUGUGUUAGAAUAGAUAUUUUGUGUUUUUGCGUUCCUAAUGAAUCGAUUUUGUCAUAAAUUAACUGUUUAAAGAAUAUUACAUUAAAAAAAAGCUUAGUUAGUUUAGAAAAUAGAAGUCUAUUAAAAAUUAAAUCACAUGUGUAUUUUAGUUUGUCCCAAUAUGUAGUUGUAGGGCUCGUAUAUCUAUUUGUUUUUUUUUUUACUCAAAAGCAUCCAAUUCUUCAAACAAUUGAUAACUCGUUGACGCAGAUCUUUACCCCGUACCAGUACUGUGUAAACUUUUUUAAUAAAUAAUAAUAACGAAGAGGUGUUAGAUACGGCGAUCUCGCGGGCGAGUGCCUUGUCCUAGCGGUCUAAACCAAUGGUCAGAAAAUAUUUCAGAUAAUGCUUUUGUUAUUUUAUCUGUGCAAUUCCAAAUUUCUAUGAAGCUGAAAGAGAUGCGUAAUUAAGUGGCUUAUGAUUAAUUAAAUAUUGUACCUGAUUACCAAGCACAUUUUAAUUAAAGAUACAGUAUUGUGCAAAAAGAUAGCAACAUUGAACUUUCCUGUUAUAUAUCUUUUAGUAUCUAUUUUAUAAGUAAGGUUUAUAUAUUAUUUACAAGAAUAGUUAGAGCCUAUUUAUAUUUUCAUAUUAUCAUAUUUUUUGUAUCAUAAUAAAUAAAACACCAAAUUGUUUUA